UAUAAACAUACGCACACGCAACCUAAGGUGUGAAACUCAACCCUCUUGUUUUGCAGAGAUUUGCCCAGAUCUCUCUCUUCUAGAAACUUCUUUUUCUCAGAGAGGAGCCGUCAGCCAUGUCCACACCUGCAAAGAAGAGGCUGAUGCGCGACUUCAAGCGGCUCCAGCAGGAUCCACCCGCCGGUAUUAGUGGCGCCCCUCAAGACAACAACAUCAUGCUCUGGAACGCCGUCAUUUUUGGGCCUGAUGAUACACCGUGGGAUGGAGGUACGUUCAAGUUGACUCUGCAAUUUACUGAGGAUUAUCCGAAUAAACCUCCAACAGUUCGGUUUGUCUCGCGGAUGUUUCAUCCAAAUAUCUAUGCAGAUGGAAGCAUUUGCUUGGAUAUUUUACAAAAUCAAUGGAGUCCUAUAUAUGAUGUUGCGGCUAUUCUGACAUCUAUCCAGUCACUGCUUUGUGAUCCAAAUCCAAACUCCCCUGCAAACUCAGAAGCAGCUCGCAUGUUUAGUGAGAACAAGCGAGAAUAUAACCGAAGAGUGCGUGAGAUAGUGGAGCAGAGCUGGACUGCUGACUAAAGGCCGAAAGAAAGCGCCGGAAACUUGUCUCUGCAUGAGAAAUGGAGAGUGCUUGUGAUAUGAUGGUGAUGCUUGUAUGCAGAUAAUCUCAAAUCCCAGUGUCCUCAUUACAACGGAAAUUUACGGCUUCUACCUUUCCAGCAUUGUAAUUUUUCCGAUAGUAUAGAUCCUUGACCUUGUAAGAGUAUUUGUUGUUAUGUUACCAGGAGUAAAAUCUUGGUGAUAAUGCCGAAAGAAAGAUUUUUAUUUUGUAUCAGGCACAAUGCACAGAUAAUUUUCAUCUCUUUUCUUUCUCACUGAAAGAGUGAAAGGCAUAGAAUUAAAUAUGCAGUGCGGAGUUAGCAAUUGAGUGUUAUCAGUUAUGUGCUACAUCAUUGAAGCUGAUGUGCACGGUUGUCUUUAUAAUGCCCAGAAUCAGAUUUGCAGUUGCGAAAGGAAACCGAGC